rnacentral:lncRNA from 1 species
GAGUGCGCGGCGGCUUGGGAUGUGGUAGAAGAGGCGAGCGCAGCAGCGAGCCAUGCUAGGGACAAGAAGAAGGAGUCUUCUGACCCUUUGGAGAAUUACUGCAAGGAUAAUCCUGAAACUGAUGAGUGCCGUACUUAUGACAAUUGAUUUAAUUACUAAGUCAUGUUAUAUUUGUUGUUAUUCUCAAACAUAAUACCUAUAUGGUAAUUUGAUACUCUUGUUGUUAUCCUCAUGAAUAUUCUUGAAUGCUAAAGAGUCCUGUUUAAGUAGAGCUCAUACUACACUUUUCUUGAAUUUGCUAUCACUAAGGAUGUUAUAUAUCAUCUAACUACCAAGUUUAUCGCCAAUCUAUCGCUAAAUAGGAUUAG